CUGCCCAGUGCGAAAUANNNNNNAAACGGNCGCCCUAGCGNGAGGGUGCUAAGGNAGCGAAAUUCCUUGCCUUUUGAUUGUAGGCCUGCAUGAAUGGUUUAACGAGGGUUUAACUGUCUCUAAAUUUUUUAUUGAAAUUGUACUGAAGGUGAAGAUACCUUCAUUUAAAAGUUAGACAAAAAGACCCCGUGCAACUUUGAAAAUUAACUUUAUUCAGAAGUAAAAGAUUUUUAGGUGGGGCGCCUANAAAGUAAGUCUAACCUUUCUGAAUAAUUAGUUCUUUCCGGAUUCGACCCGAUUAUAUUCGAUCAUAGGAGAAGUUACGCCGGGGAUAACAGGCUAAUCCUUUAGUAGAGCUCGUAUUGGCUAAAGGGAUUGGCACCUCGAUGUUGAAUCAGGGAUGAUAGCUUCAAGGCGUAGAGGCUUUGAGAGUAGGUCUGUUCGACCUUUAAUACCCU
rnacentral:rRNA from 1 species